UCAACAUCAAAUACGUCGAUACUCAUGUGUACUUCUGGCCAAAUUUAUAUUGCUAUCUUUGGUCCUGAUAAGUUGAUCAUAUUUUGGGAGCUUAAAUUCACUGUCAAUAUAUCUUUUCUUGAUUUGAAGGGCCUGACGGGUUUCAUGUCAACGAGAUUGGUUUAUUGACUCGGUGGAAGUCCGUGAAGGAUUUCCAUAACAGAGCUGCCAUCAUCAUGAGGUCGCGUUCCGAACUACAGGACACGGAUCUCGACGAUGACUCAGAUGACUCAGAUACGAGCGAGGAGGAGAUUUAGCAGUGCCCCUUCGUAGCCAGCAAACCUCCCACCCCUUGUCAGCUUCUUCAUUGUCACCUAUGUUGCUUCUACCGUGUUGCUCUUUAAUUAUUGACUCGUCAAACCUUAGACAAAUAUGUGAUGCAUGUGGAUCUGUUUGGACGUCUUCUUUUCUGUAAGUUGGCAAGUGAUCCGUAUGCUGCAACAUAAAAAAAUUGUUGUGGUUUGACGUGUAUUUAGAAGCACUCUUUAUGGUUACCAA